GGGGGGAGCGCUGGAUCCUGGGCUAUGUCCCCUGGUGCCUUGGGCUCCAGGGCCUGCCCCGCUGGAAUCACGCUCCCGAGGGCAUGCAGCCCCCU
rnacentral:pre_miRNA from 1 species